UUGACACCUGAAACAUAAAACAAGCUGCGUCACCAUUGUCUUGCUUACUUGAAGCUUUAAGUUUUUACUUCGUCUGAGAUUACAGAGACAACAGAUUAACCCUGAGUGUGUCACUUUGUGGCCACGUUUGGAAAGGCUAUAUCAUUAAGGUUUUUAUUUGAAAAGCUGUCAGUUAAUUCUGAUAACAGUAGAAAAAGACUGCGAGACCAUGAGGUGUUAAAUGGUCGUGCCAAUAUUAACUGCGUAACAUCGUCCUCUCCCGCUACAGGAUUACGCACUAUCCAUCUCUUGCGCAGCAUCCUAUUCCUGGCUCUUCCUUCACACGCCAUCCCUGCCGACUCCACACUUUGUUUACAUCCUCCUUUUAACAUCGAAAUCAGUCACAACUUAACUUUUAGACCGAGUAGAACUACGCCGUCAUGCCGUCGCAGCAUGUUCCACCAUCGCAGCGGAAAUUCCCACUGGAUUUCGAGUAGCUUGUCUGUCCUUCUCGCUGACGCAGUUUAACUUACCUGUUGUCAUGUCGAUGAUGAAAAACGCAUCAUUACAAAAAGUGCUUACAACCUCUCUCAUCAACAAGCCCCUGGACUUUUCUUUUCUUUUCUUUAUUUCAUUAACCUAUUCUUUACACUUUUACGACAGCGCCUCUAGACUUUAUUCUUACCUUUUCACCCACCACUUGAGCGGUUAUGAAUUACAUAGUCAUAUUCUCUACGCAACAUACGCAGCAUUAUGCUGCUCUCGCCCUAUAAUAACAUAAAUAACUUACGUGUUUUACCCAAGCCUGUUUUCUUCCAUGCCGACGUGUUCUCAUCCAUUUCCCGGUUGGCGCCACUUAAACCGGACCUCGGGCAACGAUCAGUUCUCCAGACUCCCGUUUCAGCCUUACUGUCGCUAUUGCCAAUCUCAGAGGUUACGUUUAUCACUGUGUUUCCUCUUAAGGAUUUUCCAUAGCGCAACACAGGAGCCCCGCCCCUGACACUCCCCCGGCCACUGGUUGGUCAGGCGGCUGGAGAGUUGUUCCUCGUCCCCAGAAUCACAUGUGGCUGACGCAUGUUUACAAACAUCGGCGAAAUCACAUGGUAAUGGGCACCGCUUUACCGUAAACCACCUCCUUUUGACGCAACUCCCAGAUGUCGUGCCGAGGCCCUAUUAUCCUUUUUUUUCUGUAGAAAAACACUCAAAUAAACAUUUCUAUUUGCAUGAAUACGAACAGUGCGUACCAUGCCCCUGACCAUGGGCCCAUCAGGUACACUACAAUAGCCUCUUAUAGGCUAUGAUACAUUACAGAAAAUAGGAACUUAAAAUAAAAUUGGACCUCACUUCAAUCAAUUAGCAGAUAGGACAAAUCUAAGAAGGAAAAUAUUUUUGAUCAAACAGGGCACAACACAUGAGAAGUCACAAAUAAUUGCUUAAUUUUAAAUCAACCAAAAGUCAAAAUGGUUAGGAACCACUGUCCCUUAUAAUAACCUAAAGUUUCUCCGCUUUAUUUAGAUGAAAUAAAACAUACUAGAACAUGUUUAGCCACUAUAUAGUCUUCUGCGCUUUACUUCUGACCUCCUGGUCUAGCUAAUAUAUCAUGAGAUGGGGAUGUUUAUGGCCAUAUGUGUCUAGCAUCUUGUUUAUUUAUAAGAAUAAUCGUAAAAAUGCUUUGUAAUACAUCGAUCUAGCACUACGUACAUAUAUUAUUGCCAGCUGUCUUACCUCAUAUAGCACAAAUACAGCAUGUGAAGCGUGACAAUACAAAAAAUAUCGCCUAAACUGCAAUGCUAUUUUGUGUCAACAGAUGGCAGUGUAGUGUAACUGGCUUGGAUUUAGUCUGACAAGAAACCAUUCAAAGAUUCAACCAAACCAAACAGGCACCAGGAGCACUGGUGUCCUCUUCAGUGCUGAUUUUGACGUUUUAUCAUUUUCAUUCGGAUAUGGUGCAGUAAACGUCACACAAGCGAUAAGUAGGCUUACUUUACCUGCUAUAAAUCGUGUCUCAUUGCUUUACUUGACCGUAAUUUACGGUAACACGCGUGACUCACUGCUCCACUUUACUGUCUUCUACGGUAAUAGGCACGUUACGUCACGCACGUCACGCACGUCACUCACACUUUGGCGUGGCUUCUGAGGCCUCACAACCAUAUCUCAAAACCUUUAUCUUUUAUGCCAUUUGUGCUCGUCUGUUGUCAUGUAUACUCUCAUUGUCUUUGAACAAUAAUCUUGAGCGGUGGAGUGAUGCAGCCUUGUUCAGGGUCAUUGCCAAGCUGCUAUCAGUAAACACUGCACUGACCUUUGCACCCACUCAGCUUUACAGCGCCUGCCAAGCUUGCAGCCUUUAGCCCAGUGGAUCUGUACUGACCGUAUCUGCUGAUACUGCGUGGGAAGCUGGCUGAAGAAGGAAUGUUGAACGACAGCAUUUGUUUGGGCACCAAGGCCACCACACAGCGGUCAGACACCUGGAAGACAAAGUGAAUUCCAGGAUUCAUGAAUGAGCCCACUGCCCACCACUGCAUCCACAAGAUAGACCGGUGAAAUCAAUGUGUACGAUGGCAGGAGGGAAAACUGAAGAGAUGUUCCAGUAUAUGUUUGACCUUGUUCAAACCCAGACUGAUCUCAGUCUGUUGUUCACCUGUUCAAAUGUGUCUUGUUCUUGUAUAGCAUUAGCUGUUAGCUCAUAUCUGGUAACUAACACAGCCACAGUGGUUUUGCGUUAUUACAUAUACUGUAUAAAAGAAGUCUAAGUCAAAUGCACAAAUGUAUUUACAGUCUGGCAAAGAGUUGGAUAGUAUGUCGGUAUCUCUUUAUGUUCUCAGUUUAUCCAAAAAAUAAUCUAAUAACUGAACCAGGAGACCGGAUCAUUAGCAGCAGGCUAACCAUUAGCACUUAGUUAGGCUACUGCAGGGGAGCCAAAUGUAAUACUCCAACAAUGAUACAUGCCUGAAUAGUCCAUCCAUCCAUGCAUCUUCCUCCGCUUAUCCGGAACCGGGUCACGGGGGCAG